UUUACAUUCGGUUGUCGGCUGUUGGUGGAGUGGAGCAGAGCGAGAUGUGUCACAGCCUGGGCGCUCCCCACCCAAUGUCCCAUUGCCAUGCAAAGGGAAGGUUGGACACUGUGGGUGUUUCCAGGUGCUGAAGGACCUCAGCCAAGGCGAGACCAUCAAGCCGGAGGCUGAGGACAAUCCCAGGUCAGGCUACCGCGAGCCGCCAAACUGUCCAUUAGACUCCGGGGCAGGGAGCCUCAGCACCACCCUGCCUGCUCAGGGGGAGCUCCUGUAAGAAACCCCACGUUUACUUUUCCAGGAUGGACGUGCUAAGGAGGAUGCGGAGGAGGACGGCUCUGCGCGUGGGCCCGGAGCCAGCAGCCCCAUUGGCAAGAGGCAGCUGCCAGCAGCCCCAGGCAGAAAGGGCCCCCUCUGUCCCUGCUGGGAGGGAAGCAGCCACCAGCCAGCCCAGGACAUGGACAUGGACACGGACACGGUUGGCCUUCCUGACCAGGAAGAGACGAGCUCCCAGAGCAGGCACCGAGCGGGGCGAGGCGGCAUCUGCUCUGAGACGGAGGUGCCCCAAGUUCUGCCUGGGCAGGUGGGACCCAGUCCAUGAAAGGAGCCAGGCAACGCAGCUCUGGGUUUGCUUUUGCUUCAAGGCCAGCCCCCAGGAGUCCAGCCCUGUGGCCCAGCGGGAGACAUCUCCCAGCCUGCUUCCUGGUGACCUCCCUGCCUCUCCAGGGCAGGAGAUGGGGGGACCCUGUCCCAGCACCAGCAGCUCGGCCUGCUCCCGAGGGGAGAGCGGACGUUUCCUGGGGGGUCCCUGGAGCACGGAGGCUGAGUGCUCCUCCACUACAGGGCCCCUGUUCUUCCUCUUCCUCCCAUAGCAGCAGCAGGAGUCACCCUCUGCCCUUCUCUCCCCGACGCAGACGAUCUCAGUGACCUGUCAGAGGAGAACUGGCCAUGGAGGAGGAGGAGAAGAAGGAACCAACCAAGAAGGAGGAGGAGGAGGAGGAGAAGGAACCAGCCACGGAGGAGGGUGAGAAGGAACCAACCACAGGGGAGGAGCAGGAACCAGCCACAGAGGAGGAUAAUGAGGAGGACUCGGCCUCAGAGUAGGAGGAGAAUAAUGAUGAGGACCCAGCCACAGAGGAGGAGGUUAUAGCCAAAUAUUUAAUUUAAUAGAGGAUUUCUGGUUGUAGUUACACACCAGCAUUUAAGGGGUGAUGAAUAGGUUUAAGCAGGACAGGAUCACAGGAGUAUAACGUUGAUACGCAUUUAGAAGGGAUGAGUGCAUUCAGUAUAUAAGCCAAGGAAGGCCGUAAAGCAGGCCCUACAGGCUGAGGCCUGUAAGAUUUCAGCUUCGCCACACUAGUCCCGAGGAGGGUUUACAUAAGUCGGUGACCUAGAAAUAACCCUGUGCCAGUAAAGUCACAAGGUUAUUGUAAAGAAUGUUCAAAUGGGUGAUGUUCAGGUUAAUAGACCACAAUGCACCUGUCUAGACUGCAAGAUGCCUGAUUGUAACAUCAUGAAAAAUUCUGCAGUUACAGGUUACCAUGGGGAUUUGUUUACCUAGAUGCAUAAUGAGAAGAAAAGGAUUUAAGGGGCUAGCCAAUGAGAUAUGGGGCACCCAAAAUUAGUGGGGUGUAGAAGUAUUGAUAAGGAAAAAGGGGUUGGAACCCUUAUGCAUAUGCAUGAGCUGUAGUGGGUGUAAGCGUGACUCAGAAUAAGAGGUGUUGUGUGGAGGGAAGAAACACACAGGAAAUGCCAGGAUGUCAAGCCAGGGGUUGUAAGGAUAAUGAUGAUGAGGAGAAUAACGACUGACAUUCCAGGGUCCCCCAGCAGGAGAUGUGAGAUGUGAGUGAGGCCGGUCAUAGGGGUAAACACUUUGCACUAUCUUUCUAUCUGCUGUUGAGUAAGUGUGGGACUGUUUAUCUGCUUAGUGAAUUUGUUAAUAAAGCAGAACUGUUUCUUGAGUGUUCUAGGGUCUCUUAAUACUAAUAAUAUUCCUGAUCCUGUAGCCCUCAGGAGACCAAAUCUUUAACCAAUGCUGUCUAAGGGAUUAAUCAGUAAUCAGUACACCGAUCCAUAAAUAAGGCUACAGAUUAGGGUCCCAUCUUGGGUGCCAUGGGUCAUUUUACCUACCUGUCACAAAGGUAGAAGGAUUUAUGUAAUGUGUGUGUGUGAAAUAAAUAGACCUUUAAGAAAGUCCACGAAAAAUCUGUUUGCCUUAAUAAUUAGAAGGGUAAUAAGUUAAAGUCAAGUGUAUUAAGGCAUAAAUUGUUUCUAUGCCUAUAAAUUGUAGUUUUUGUAUAAUCUUUUGGUCAGGACUAACAGGGAACAGUGAAUGUUACUAAAGCUCUUCAGAGAGCAGUCAAUAUGUUGCUGUACAUAGAAGGGGAAGUAACUUUGGGGAAGUUUGUCUGCGAGAAGAGACCAGACAAAGCAAAUAGCUUUAACUUAAAUGUGGCCGAAUAAAAUUAAAAUUAGUGUCCCAGAAACCCAUGUUAAAAUUGUUAUUUUAAAUUGUCUUUGUCAUAUGGCGCAUCUAAUGUAGUGUCAUUUAAAAUAGUAUUAAGUUCUAUGGUUUAGCUGUUUUAAAAAAAGGCCAUGUCUGAUGUACAUGUAAAAACUGACACAGUAAAUAGAGGUAGGGGGGGAAGUGACCCUGCUCACUACCCCUCUGACCUGCCAAGUACGGCGGGGGAAAGAAAGUGAAGGGGGCAAAGCUAAAAGCCUGGGGUAAAAUUGAAAUAUUAAGGUACGUGUAUUAUUCCGCUGCUGAACAUUUGCAUUAUUUUUGUUGUUAAAAAAAUAUUGGGUUGUUAAACAAAAAAAGUAUCCUUAAAUUUAACCAAUCAGUUAUUGCAUAUUAUUAGCCCAAAGAGAGGUAUCCAGUCAGUUAUCAUUCCGGACACACCCACCCUGGGCAUGGUAAAGGAAAUCAGCAAUCCUUUUGUUUUACACAGGAAUCAUUCGUCUAAGGCAGUAUUAAAACCUCUAACCAAAAAAAAUGUAGCAGCCUCUGCUAUUCACAAACAACAAUCAUGGAUAUUAGUAUUAAUUCUCAAUAAAAGUGUUUACACUUCUUCCUUAUAACAUUUUUAUAAUUCCCUAGGUAAAUAAAGCAGUUGUUAAUUUUUUUAAUCAUUUGUUUUGUUUUCUUCUAUUUUAGGAUCUAAAUAUUCAGGAUAGACACCUUCGGCACCUAACUAAACUAUUUACAUCUUAAUUUUGCUUGUUAAAAUAAGUUACUCUAACUAAAAUGAAGUUGUUAAUUCAAACAGGGUUUGUUUUUUUUUUGUUGAUUUGUUUUUUAGGUAUCCUCCUGUUUAAAAAUGAACACAUUUCCAGUGCCCGUCUCCCUUAUUGAUCAAUCAUGGUGGUAACUAUUAUUAAGCAAUUAAUAAUUUUAACCCUUAGGUUUCCUGGACCUGCCCUAAACAGCAAUGUUUAGAGGUCUGUUUUAUGUAUUUUACUCUUUGUUCUCUGAUGUUUUAUUUUAUGUUUCAACACAAUUAUAUUGAAAUUGUUUUGUCUUUAUUAGUCCCUUAGUUAUGUUUUAGGUCAUGUGACUGUUAUAGGAUUUUCAAUUUAGGGGACUUAUUUUAUUUUUGUUGUUGCAACAAAAAAUAUUUUGUGCACAAAGGUAUAAGAAAGCUAAUUAAUAAAACAAUUUUUGUGGUCCCACACUAUUUCAAUAUUAUAAUUAGGCUAUACCCACCAUUGGUGUACUAUUACAAUACAUUAAUUGUAGUUCUUUUUUGCAAAUGUUAGUCAUAAAUACAGGUAUAUUUGUUUAUAAUUAAAUUAUGUAUUCAUGCAAUGUUUUUGGUUAAUCUUAAUUUUGAGUUUGUCAAGCAAUGUAGCAAGUUGUUUGGCACAACCUAGGUUAAAAUGUAUAAAUUCAUAAAAGGAAAACUAUGACAAUAUUUAUGUAGCGUUAAUAGCUAUGUUAUGGCUACAAUGUUUUAUAAUAUAACUCUAUGUUGAUUGGUUAUCUGUGUUUAUAGAUUGUUAAACAUCAUCAAAUUAAUGCAAAUAAAAUCAGGU